GGGCACGGUGCAGCGCCGCCUCCCGUUCGCCUCUGCGCCUGGCCCGGCGACUGCGGGCGCUGCGGUCCACUGGGUCCGCCUCUUCCCGGCAUGGGUUUCUGCCCAGCUCACCCGCUGUCAGCUGGGGUCCUGCUCUGGUGGGAGGAAGAGGCUCAGACGCUUCCCUGCCCUCUCGCCUCAACCACCUCGAGGCAGCGGCUCCCAGGAUGUGCACUUUGACGACUAAAGCUGAGCCGGCGCCGCCACGACCUUGGGCGGGUGGUCGGCCUCUGCCCUGAGCAGGAAGUAGAAAGUCUCAGCAGACCCUUCCUGAGGGCCGAGCAACAGUGUAGUGGCGUAUUCCACAUAGCAAACAGAUGUACACUAGAUUUUGAUGGCAUUUUUCCAGGGACCCUGGGAGCAUCUGUGUUCUCGUGUUCUUCUUGCCUGUGAGGCCUCUUCUCUCUGAGGACAGAUGGUAGGACAGAGAGAAGACAGCAAAUGGAAAACAAAGGCUGCUAUUUUUUUGUGGGGCAGCAUUUCUUCCUGUGACAAUAUGGUGUAAGACAAAAUUGUGGCCUGCCAUGAAGUUGUGAGAGAAAAGCAUCCCUCAUUUCUUCAGGAAAGGCCACUGCCGUUCCCUCCGGCUCCUCUUCUCAGGAGUUUGUGCAUUCAUGAGGUGAAUUCCUUGGAAGAUGAGGGCCAAGUCUUAUUCUUCUCAGUCUCUUCUGCAUCUAGCAGAAGAAUAAUGGUUGCACAGAAAAUCUUGGUUCAGUGGUUGAGUGAAUGAAUGGAUGAACAGGCUCUUGCACACAAAGAAGAGACAUGAUGUAUUUGCAUCCUUCCCUGCUUCAGCCAGGUCCCCAGACAGUCCCGGUGUGCACACUUCCCUGCUUCUGUUCAUGAUGUUCUCUGAACCUGGGAUCACCUUUCCCCUUCCUCUUACCUGCCCGAUCCUACUUGUCCUCCCAGAUUCAGUUUUCUGAAGCUCAGAGGGACACCUUGUAUUGCUGGAUGAUAAAAACAGGAGCAAAGUGAUGAAGUGCUGACAAGGCAACAAUAGAACAUGAGAGAUUCACUGCUGUGUAGGAAGAGAUCUUCGGUGACCAUGUAGCCUGAAGCUCUCAUUUUGUCAUCGAGGGACACCAAAACUCAGAACAGCAGCAGCUCACGCUGCUGAUGCAACACAGGUGAAGAGCACCUUCCCCUCCCCCACCUGUGGGCUGAUUCCCACCACGUGGAUCCCAAGGCCAUCCCAGGAACUCUUUGGAGGGGAGAAGCCCAGUGGAAACUGUCAGGCCUCUGAGCACAAGCCAAGCCAUCGCAUCCCCUGUGACUUGCACGUAUAUGCCCAGAUGGCCUGAAGUAACUGAAGAAUCACAAAAGAAGUGAAAAGGCCCUGCCCCACCUUAACUGAUGACAUUCCACCAUUGUGAUUUGUUCCUGCCCCACCUUCACUGAGUGAUUAACCCUGUGAAUUUCCUUCUCCUGGCUCAGAAGCUCCCCCACUGAGCACCUUGUGACCCCCGCCCCUGCCCACCAGAGAACAACCCCCUUUGACUGUAAUUUUCCAUUACCUUCCCAAAUCCUAUAAAACGGCCCCACCCCUAUCUCCCUUCGCUGACUCUCUUUUCGGACUCAGCCCGCCUGCACCCAGGUGAAAUAAACAGCCAUGUUGCUCACA
rnacentral:lncRNA from 10 species